GGUCCCGUGGUGUAGUGGUUACCAUGCCUGCCUGUCCCGCAGGAGAUCGCCGUUUCGCCCCCGGUCGGGACCGCCA
rnacentral:tRNA from 1 species